CCUACGGGAGGCAGCAGUGGGGAAUAUUGCACAAUGGGCGGAAGCCUGAUGCAGCGACGCCGCGUGAGGGAUGAAGGCCUUCGGGUUGUAAACCUCUUUCAGCAGGGACGAAGCGUGAGUGACGGUACCUGCAGAAGAAGCACCGGCUAACUACGUGCCAGCAGCCGCGGUAAUACGUAGGGUGCGAGCGUUGUCCGGAAUUACUGGGCGUAAAGAGUUCGUAGGCGGUUUGUCGCGUCGUUUGUGAAAACCCGGGGCUCAACUUCGGGCUUGCAGGCGAUACGGGCAGACUUGAGUGUUUCAGGGGAGACUGGAAUUCCUGGUGUAGCGGUGAAAUGCGCAGAUAUCAGGAGGAACACCGGUGGCGAAGGCGGGUCUCUGGGAAACAACUGACGCUGAGGAACGAAAGCGUGGGUAGCAAACAGGAUUAGAUACCCUGGUAGUCCACGCCGUAAACGGUGGGCGCUAGGUGUGGGUUCCUUCCACGGGAUCUGUGCCGUAGCUAACGCAUUAAGCGCCCCGCCUGGGGAGUACGGCCGCAAGGCUAAAACUCAAAUGAAUUGACGG
rnacentral:rRNA from 1 species